ACUUCCUUCCUCACAAACCUACUAUAAAGCCCAAGUGGAAUUGCCAUCUCCCCGGUCCACUGUGUAGGCAGUAACAAUUGCAGGAAGAGAAGAGAUAGAGGAUGGCGUUUAGUGGUGAAGUAAGCAACAAACAGGUGAUAUUCAGAGACUAUGUGACUGGUUUUCCUCAAGAAUCUGACAUGUGCUUCACCACUGGUACUGUAAAACUCAAGGUACCAGAAGGUUCUAAUGGUGUUCUUGUCAAGAAUCUCUAUCUCUCCUGUGAUCCUUACAUGCGAAUCUUGAUGGGGAAACAUGAGGUUUCCAGCUCAUUUUCCUCCUAUACUCCAGGCUCUGUAAGCUCUUUCAUUUGUUUCUCUUCUGUUUCCUUUCUCUAUUGCUUCAGUUUCUUUAUUCUUAGUUAUUCAAUGGGUUUUAGACUUAUAGUGGUCUAUCUGAAAUUCCUUAAAUUUUAGCUGAGGCCCCCCUCUUAGAGUAUCAAGUUUUAUUUAUGCUAUCAAAUUGGGGAAAUAUAAAAAUUGUUAUGUAUAAUCCCCUUUUAAUUUUUCAUCCAUAGCCCACAAGUAAUCCCAGUUUUGAAUUUGUAUUGAUGAAAACACGCAGCCACUUACUGGGUAUGGAGUGGCUAAAGUUUUGGAUUCAGGAAACCCAGACUUUAAAGAAGGGGACUUGGUUUGGGGAAUAACUGGAUGGGAAGAGUACAGUCUC
rnacentral:misc_RNA from 1 species